rnacentral:rRNA from 1 species
AUAUCAGGUGCUGUAAGCAU